AUGAUCCUUUAUGUCAUUUUACAAUAUUCCACUCUGUUUAUUGCUUUCCAGAACUUCUAUCAUUAAGUAAAGUCCCUUCUUUCACUAUCCCUCCCCCGCCCCUCAAAAAAACUAAUCUAUUCCCCAACUGCCUAUCAGAGACUGAAUAAAAGUCAGUCUAUCACAGCAGCAGUGAUGGUCAUGCCAAUUUCACAGUGUGAUUUGUGCACUCAUUUCAUUUUGAAAAUGACCCUGCCCUCCAUCUGUCUAAGCCGAAUGUCCUGCUUUUUUCCAGCCAGGCCUCGGGAGCAGCAGCACAUGAAAUAAGGAGGAAGACACAGAAUGGCCUCCCUCCUGCCCCCUUCUGCUGCCACUCACGGAUAGUACCAACACAAAGAGGGGAACCUCAGCUGAUGCCUGAGGGGGUCAGAGAAAUGUGGGCGAGAGCAGAUAGUCCUGUUUUUCACACACUUCCAAGAAGCCAUUGGAAGGCGAAUGCUUUCAUGAUGCAGUUUCAGCUCUGAAAAACAGACUGACAGACUAAAGAUAUAAAAAGCAAUUUCUCAUUUCCAUGUUCUGUCAUCUCACCUUGAUUUAAUAGCAACUUACCCAAGAUAACAGUUCAUACACAAGGAUUAAAAUAUGGAGCCUGAGUUUCCAAGGGACAAGUGUGGUCAGGCAGCCAUAAAGGUGACGAUCCUCUCCCACCCACCCACUCACCUCCCUCCCAAAUUACUGAGCAGCAUUAGCCAGCAUCCCUCAACCCAUGUACUUCACUGGGUUGAAGGCCCUAAAAGAGUGCACCAGAGAGCAGGUUGAAAGAAGCCUCGGAGUAGGUUAUAGUGGUUCUCAGCAGCAGAUUUUCUGGGGAAUCUUAGGUGGGUCGGGGCCCCACCCAACCCCUCUGAAAUGGGUGCAGUUUGUCCCUUUCUUGGUAUUCAUGCAGUGGGAGGUUAUUUGCCUGGUCCCACCCAGAAGGACACAACUCUGCCAAUUUCUCAGCAAGGGAGAAGACUGAAUGACUACACAAAGUCAGUUGUUUUAUGAUAGAGCAAUCACAUGCCUGCAGAAGUCUUCUCCUAGCUAUAGCAGGUGACUAGGAGCUACAGCACCCCCACGAGUUACUUCCUAACAUCUGCUCACAACUGCAGUUCAGGCCUGGUAGUUCAAAUUUCUACUGCCCACACCAAGUUGGUUGGUUGUUUUAAUAGAGAAAAAAGACACUAUUCUUCCAUCAUACAACUUGGCACCAAACACUAUGCCCUUAAACUCAUCCAUGGGAAAUAUAUGUAAUAGAUUAUUCAUCAGCCACUAUUUCCUACUGAAACUAGCUGUUGGACCUCAUGGCACAGCUGCCAACUAUCUAGCUGUGUGGUCUUCAGCAAAUUACUUAAAACUUUCUAGUACACAGUGUCUUUGUCUCUAAUACAUAAUACAAAGUUAUUAAGAUUAGAAAAAUAUAUAUAUAAAUGGUCAAAUAGAGUGCCAUACAGUAUGGUUGGUAUUGGCUCUGAAAUGUAUAUAUAGAAAAGAAGUAUGGGCUGCAAAACUACAGAGGAGGCAGAUAAAGGAUUUGCACUGAAGUCUUUAAGCAUAUAGCAAAGACAUGCUUUUAUUCAGACACCGUUUAUCUUAGGUACUGGACAGGCCAAUGCAGACCACAGAAGAUCAAUGGCCAUGUAGGGAGAUCAAGGAAGAUGGGUUAAUUUGUAGUUAAAGUUGGAGGACCAGGGCAAUAGACAUGGACAACUUUAAACGCCAACUUCGGCUCAGUAAUAAUUGUUUAUGAAAAAGCAGUGAGAGAGACACUUGGACCUAAAAUUGAACGUCUCUCAGUACCAGACAGGAUACACAAAACCAUCCUAUCAUCAACCUGUGGAAAUGACAAAAAUAAGGACUCUUAGUCUCUGCCUAUUAUGAAAGAGUGCCCUCGAGGCAGUUUAAAAACAGAACCUACUCUAAUUCCAGGAGAUAUUCCACUUUUUCCUUGCCAUUAAUUUACAAAAACAAAAACGCAAAACAACAGUAUUUGUAUGCACCACAUAGCGUAUAAGGCUCAAAAACGCAAGGGACUUCGGACCACAAAACCUCCUCCUGCCCGCCAGACGCCAAGGUGACCCACAAGAAGCAGCCAAAGAAACCUCCUCUACUGUAGGGAGAGGAGACCAGUGAAACCUCACUACCCCACCAAACGGGUUAGAUCCCUCAAGGACUACGACUCCCAGCAUGCAGUGCGGCCGCGUCCCGAGCGGCGGCGCUCAGGGACUAAUGCAUGCCGGGAAUAGAGUUUCCGUCUCUGAACUACGAAGAGACUCUCCGUCUCCCUUCCGUGACUCACGACCUUCGCAGCCCAGUCGUCCAGGGCUAAAUCGGUAACCGAAAGGCUCACGUCAGUGAUUCCUUUUUGUUCGUAACCGGCUACUUCCGUUCCUCUCCUGCCCCAGAGGUGAAGGCCUCCAGCUGCCAGUUGGCCAGAAGUCUGGAAACAGAGGAGCAGGGACACUUCUCCGAUAGCUGGCGGUUGAAACCACAAGCGGGUGUAAAAGAUGCACACCAACCUUUUAGCAAUGUCAGAUCUUUUCUUCCUGUACUGAUUCAUUAUGUUUAAACUGUUUCAACAAAACGCCAAACAGAGAUAAUCCACUGCAGAUAACUGGGGAUUCACAGGGGCAUCAAGUUAUAACUCACUGGGGCUGAGCGCAUUCAUCCAGCAGUAAAUGCAUCAUGGUCACCUUUAUUGCUGGAGAAACAAAGCUUGAAUUAAUUCCACAGGAAUGUUUAAUAAAGGAAAAGAUUCCAUGAAGAUCAGCCUUUUUCUCAUCUUCAUUCUCCCCUGCAGAUAUUAAAGCUUUCACAGCGCCUGAACAAAAACAGACUCUCCAUUAUAUUCUUCGAGGAAUAAUUUAUUAAAUGUGUUUUUAUAAAUUGGACUUUCUGUGUUUAUGUGCCAUUUCCUCCAAGAAGGCUGACUAUAAGGAUGAAAUAGAAAUAACAUCACUUUUCAAUAUUCCU